UAGGGAAUCUUCCGCAAUGGGCGAAAGCCUGACGGAGCAACGCCGCGUGAGUGAUGAAGGUCUUCGGAUCGUAAAACUCUGUUAUUAGGGAAGAACAAAUGUGUAAGUAACUAUGCACGUCUUGACGGUACCUAAUCAGAAAGCCACGGCUAACUACGUGCCAGCAGCCGCGGUAAUACGUAGGUGGCAAGCGUUAUCCGGAAUUAUUGGGCGUAAAGCGCGCGUAGGCGGUUUUUUAAGUCUGAUGUGAAAGCCCACGGCUCAACCGUGGAGGGUAAUUGGAAACUGGAAAACUUGAGUGCAGAAGAGGAAAGUGGAAUUCCAUGUGUAGCGGUGAAAUGCGCAGAGAUAUGGAGGAACACCAGUGGCGAAGGCGACUUUCUGGUCUGUAACUGAUGCUGAUGUGCGAAAGCGUGGGGAUCAAACAGG
rnacentral:rRNA from 1 species